rnacentral:lncRNA from 1 species
GCAUGUGAGAAAGAGGAGAGCCGUCUCCUCUUUGGGUGAGUGAAACCUAGGGUUUUAAGGUUUGUGCCUAAGAUUUGGGAAGCGAGAAAAUAAAAGAAAGAAGUUUCUUGUAUUCUUCUUCUUCCAUGACUUCUUAUUCCUCAAUUUGCAUUCUUCUUUAACCUCUGAAAGUAUUCAAAAGAUUUGAAGGAAGGAUUCAGAUCAGCUAGCAAGAUUGUCUUCGCAUGAGCUAGCACUUUCGAGGAGGCUGAUCAAAUCGGAGUUUCGAGUGGACCAUCUAUAGAGGUCGGAUACCCUAUGCAGCU